rnacentral:ncRNA from 1 species
UACCCCCUCGAGGGGGUAAGGCCCCCAACAGACCAUUGGGUUGAUAGGCCAGAACUGGAAGUCUGGUAACAGAUGUAGGUGACUGGUACUAAUAGGCCGAGGACUUACCAAC